UUAUAAACCCAAAAUAUACAAGGAAAAUAAUUGCCUUUUAAGGAACCUAUUUCUAUUUUAGGCAUAAUGUAAGCUAUGCCGAAACAAGUUCCAUGGAGUUCGUUUUCUUUCUACCCUUUCUUUUUCUUUAUUUUCCGUCUCUUUCAGUUGGUUGGGAACUUGAAUCAGCAGCUUCACAGUUGGGUUUUCGACCACCGCAAAACAUGUUGAGGCUUUCAUCUGGUAGUUCUUUUACCAGAAUUCCUUGGUCGAGUUGGCUGGCCUCGUGACAGGGUUGCUCACUGCUUAGCAUAACCCGGCAGUAGUCCGGAAUCCCAUAUCAAAGCUCUGACGAAGUUGGAAUGUUCAGCUAAUUCCUCACAAAAUGCAGAAUCAAAUUCACUCCUUCCACAUUUCUUGAUAAACCAACAUAAAAGUACAGCGAAGGUAUCCAAAUGAAAUGAGACAAACUAUAUAUACAUAUAUACAAAGGACACAUAUGUCAUGUUAUGUAUAUUAUAUAUAAAGAAAAAAAAACAAAUAGACUUAAGAAAAGAAUAAUAGGGCAAAAGAAAUAAACUUUCCGGACUAUUUCAAAUCCAAAUGAACAAUUCCCCCUAUGAGAGUUGCUUUAGCAAAAACUUUAAAGAAGAAUUAAAAAAAGGAAAAAGAAAAAAUCUAAACCUGAACCCCAUCAUCUUUCAGGCAAUGCAAAUCUCACAUUCCAGAUGAAUUUGUUGACACAACAGCAGUUUCCUAGAUAUAGAAGCUGUUUCAGACUUGCGAUGUCAAUUGUGAUAUAUCAUCUGGGUAAUGCAUAUAUAUAUAUAAACAAAAUCUUGAGCACUAGCUUCCUUUUUUCUCAAAACUCUUCUAUGGAAGCACUAUGUUCCUGAUGUGCGUAAAGGUGUGGUUACUUUAGCACCCUUGACCAACGAUCGAUGAACGAUCUU